AACACGUCUUCAAUUCAGUGGAAGGAAUAAAUGGGGCAUGUUUAUCUCUCGCCUGUCAGAGGCGAGGCGAGGACUGACGUACAGGCAACGACAGGCCGCGGAGAAACUGAAUCAGCUAAGCACCAAAGCUGGAGCAGAAACGACACCUGAAGAGUAUUCUUCGGAAUCUGCAGUUCUGAUUUUGCAGGCAAGUAAAAUGGUUGCAUUUGAAAGCGAAUUGAUGUUUGGACGCAGGAUUGAAGAAAAUGAGCAAAAAUUGAAAAGGUUCCUUGAGGUCGC
rnacentral:lncRNA from 1 species